rnacentral:tRNA from 1 species
CUUAAAAUAAGUUAAUAAAACUAUUGAAUUUUUACUUCAAUUUUACCAUUAGGUUUUUAAGA